UAGCGAAAUUCCUUGUCGGGUAAGUUCCGACCCGCACGAAAGGCGUAAUGAUUUGAGCGCUGUCUCGGCAAUACAUCCGGUGAAAUUGAAGUGCCAGUGAAGAUGCUGGCUACCCGCGCCAGGACGGAAAGACCCCAUGGAGCUUUACUCCAGUUUGGCACUGGGGUCCGGUGUUGCAUGUACAGGAUAGGUGGGAGGCUGAGAAACGGUAACGUCAGUUGCCGCGGAGCCGCUGUUGGGAUACCACCCUUGUGAUAUUGGGCUUCUAACCAGCCGCCGUAAUCCGGCGGUGGGACAAUGCCAGGCGGGGAGUUUGACUGGGGCGGUCGCCUCCGAAAGGGUAUCGGAGGCGCCCAAAGGUUCCCUCAGAAUGGACGGAAACCAUUCGAAGAGUGCAAAGGCAGAAGGGAGCUUGACUGCGACACCGACGGGUGGAGCAGGUACGAAAGUAGGACUUAGUGAUCCGGUGGUAUGAAAGUGGGAUUGCCAUCGCUCAACGGAUAAAAGCUACCCUGGGGAUAACAGGCUUAUCACUCCCAAGAGUUCACAUCGACGGAGUGGUUUGGCACCUCGAUGUCGGCUCAUCGCAUCCUGGGGCUGUAGUAGGUCCCAAGGGUUGGGCUGUUCGCCCAUUAAAGCGGUACGCGAGCUGGGUUCAGAACGUCGUGAGACAGUUCGGUCCCUAUCCGGCGCGGGCGUAGGAUAUCUGAGAGGAGCUGUCCUUAGUACGAGAGGACCGGGAUGGACAGACCGCUGGUGUACCUGUUGGCCUACCAAGGCCAUGGCAGGGUAGCCAAGUCUGGACGGGAUAAACGCUGAAGGCAUCUAAGCGUGAAGCCCCCCUCAAGAUGAGAUAUCCCAUUCUUAGUGAAGUAAACCCCCUUGAAGACGACGAGGUAGAUAGGGCAGAGGUGGAAGUGUGGUAACACAUGGAGCUGACUGUUACUAAUCGGGUGAGGGCUUGACCAA
rnacentral:rRNA from 1 species